rnacentral:rRNA from 1 species
UACGUAGGUGGCGAGCGUUGUCCGGAUUUACUGGGCGUAAAGGGCGUGCAGGCGGUUUGCUAAGUCUAGGGUGAAAGCUCCCGGCUCAACUGGGAGAGGUCCUUGGAUACUGACAGACUUGAGGGAGGCAGAGGAGAAUGGAAUUCCCGGUGUAGUGGUGAAAUUCGUAGAUAUUGGGAGGAACACCAGUGGCGAAGGCGGUCCCCUGGGCCGGAACUGACGCUGAGGCGCGAAAGCGUGGGUAGCAAACGGG